rnacentral:SRP_RNA from 1 species
AGCUGGGCCAGGCAAGUGUAUUCAGGGUGAACUCCGCCAGGUCGGGAACGAAGCAACGGUAGCUUUUGUUGCAUUGUGUCUGUGUUCAGCUACU